GACGAACGCUGGCGGCGUGCCUAAUACAUGCAAGUCGUGCGGACUUAUCUUCGGAUAAGUUAGCGGCGGACGGGUGAGUAACACGUGGGCAACCUGCCUGUAAGACUGGGAUAACUCCGGGAAACCGGUGCUAAUACCAGAUACAAUCAAAGACCGCCUGGUCUUUGAUGGAAAGGUCUUGUACCGCUUACAGAUGGGCCCGCGGCGCAUUAGCUAGUUGGUGGGGUAAUGGCCUACCAAGGCGACGAUGCGUAGCCGACCUGAGAGGGUGAUCGGCCACACUGGGACUGAGACACGGCCCAGACUCCUACGGGAGGCAGCAGUAGGGAAUCUUCCGCAAUGGACGAAAGUCUGACGGAGCAACGCCGCGUGAGUGAUGAAGGCUUUCGGGUCGUAAAACUCUGUUGUCAGGGAAGAACAUCCGGGAUCACCUCCCGGUCUGACGGUACCUGAUCAGAAAGCCCCGGCUAACUACGUGCCAGCAGCCGCGUUAAUACGUAGGGGGCAAGCGUUGUCCGGAAUUAUUGGGCGUAAAGCGCGCGCAGGCGGUUUCUUAAGUCUGGUGUGAAAGCCCGCAGCUCAACUGCGGAGGGCCACUGGAAACUGGGAAGCUUGAGUGUAGGAGAGGAGAGCGGAAUUCCACGUGUAGCGGUGAAAUGCGUAGAUAUAUGGAGGAACACCCGUGGCGAAAGCGGCUCUCUGGCCUAUAACUGACGCUGAGGCGCGAAAGCGUGGGGAGCGAACAGGAUUAGAUACCCUGGUAGUCCACGCCGUAAACGAUGAGUGCUAGGUGUUGGGGACUCCAAUCCUCAGUGCCGCAGCUAACGCAAUAAGCACUCCGCCUGGGGAGUACGGCCGCAAGGCUG
rnacentral:rRNA from 1 species